rnacentral:rRNA from 1 species
GGUGAACGCUGGCGGCGUGGAUGAGGCAUGCAAGUCGAAUGCAUUUAGUUGCAUGGCAGACGAGGUAGGAACACGUAGGUACAAACCCCAUAGUCAGGGAUAACCCGGUGAAAGCCGGAAUAAUACCUGAUAGUCUCUACUAGUUUACUAGGGAGUAAAGAUUUAUCGCUAUGGGAUUGGCCUGCGGGCUAUCAGCUUGUUGGUACGGUAACGGCGUACCAAGGCUACGACGGCUAGGGGAGGUGAGAGCCUGACCCCCACCGACGGAACUGCGACACGGUCCGUACUCCUACGGGAGGCCGCAGUCGUGAAUCUUCCGCAAUGGGCGAAAGCCUGACGGAGCGACGCCGCGUGGUGGAUGAAGUCCUUCGGGACGUAAACACCUUUUAUGAGGGAGGAAAUUUUGACGUUACCUCAUGAAUAAGGGGCUCCCAAUUCUG